CGGCAUUAUCUUUCAAAUAUUAACACCUAACAUUCCUUAUUAUAUGUUUCUAUUAUAUAUAAGUUAUAAUUAUUUAAUAAUUGCUUUUUUAAUACUACAAUUGUCACUACUCAAAUUUUGAAUCAGACCGACACUAGAACUUUAGUUAGUAUAAGAGUCUCAAAACUUGUAGUAAGUCUAACUGUUCUAGCCCAAUCAUAAAGUCCAUACUUUAAAUCCCAUUUCAAGAAAUUAAUCGAACAGAGUUCGCCCAUAACAUAGAAUAUGCAAUGGGGAGAAACCUGCG
rnacentral:misc_RNA from 1 species